CACAAUAAAAUAUGAAGGCUGUACGCGGCUGUGCUCUCGGGCCAGUUUUGCGGAGGCUGAAUUAUUUAUUACCCUUGUCUUUUGCGCACUUGUUGUUUCCUGGGCGGGUCCGCCCGCCACCAGGACCACACCAUAAACCUUUUUUAUGCAGUUGCAAUCAGCGUCAGUAUAACAAAUGUAAAUCAUUUA
rnacentral:misc_RNA from 1 species